rnacentral:misc_RNA from 1 species
GAAAUGCGAUAAGUAAUGUGAAUUGCAGAAUUCAGCGAAUCAUCGAAUCUUUGAACGCACAUUGCGCCCGCCAGUAUUCUGGCGGGCAUGCCUGUUCGAGCGUCAUUUCAACCAUCAAGCCCCCGGCUUGUGUUGGGGACCUGCGGCUGCCCGCAGGCCCUGAAAAACAGUGGCGGGCUCGCUGUCACACCGAGCGUAGUAGCAUACAUUCUCGCUCAGGGCGUGCUGCGGGUUCCGGCCGUUAAACGACCUUCAUAACCCAAGGUUGACCUCGGAUCAGGUAGGAAGACCCGCUGAACUUAAGC